UCAGUAGUGCGAAUGCUGACAUGAGUAGCGUUAAAGGGGGUGAAAAGCCCCCUCGCCGUAAGCGCAAGGUUUUCUACGCAACGUUCAUCGGCGUAGAGUGAGUCGGCCCCUAAGGCGAGGCAGAGAUGCGUAGCUGAUGGGAAACGGGUCAAUAUUCCUGUACCGAUGUGUAGUGCGAUGUGGGGACGGAGAAGGUUAGCUCAGCCAACUGUUGGAUAUGUUGGUUCAAGCCUGUAGUCGUGCCCGGUAGGCAAAUCCGCCGGGCUUAGAUGAGGGGUGAUAACGAGGCUGCUUGCAGCCGAAGUGAGUGAUACCCUGCUUCCAGGAAAAGCCACUAAGCUUCAGCUACACACGACCGUACCGCAAACCGACACUGGUGCGCGAGAUGAGUAUUCUAAGGCGCUUGAGAGAACUCAGGAGAAGGAACUCGGCAAAUUGAUACCGUAACUUCGGGAGAAGGUAUGCCCCAAGUAGGUGAACCUGUACAAGGCGAGCCCAAAGGGGUUGCAAAAAAUCGGUGGCUGCGUCUGUUUAAUAAAAACACAGCACUCUGCAAACACGAAAGUGGACGUAUAGGGUGUGACGCCUGCCCGGUGCUGGAAGAUUAAAUGAUGGGGUGCAAGCUCUUGACUGAAGUCCCAGUAAACGGCGGCCGUAACAAUAACGGUCCUAAGGUAGCGAAAUUCCUUGUCGGGUAAGUUCCGACCUGCACGAAUGGCGUAACGAUGGCCACACUGUCUCCUCCUGAGACUCAGCGAAGUUGAAAUGUUUGUGAUGAUGCAAUCUCCCCGCGGAAAGACGGAAAGACCCCAUGAACCUUUACUGUAGCUUUGUAUUGGACUUUGAACAGAUCUGUGUAGGAUAGGUGGGAGGCUUUGAAGUGAGGUCGCUAGAUCUCAUGGAGCCAACGUUGAAAUACCACCCUGGUGUGUUUGAGGUUCUAACCUAGGUCCAUUAUCUGGAUCGGGGACAGUGCAUGGUAGGCAGUUUGACUGGGGCGGUCUCCUCCCAAAGCGUAACGGAGGAGUUCGAAGGUACGCUAGUUACGGUCGGACAUCGUGACGAUAGUGCAAUGGCAUAAGCGUGCUUAACUGCGAGACUGACAAGUCGAGCAGAUGCGAAAGCAGGACAUAGUGAUCCGGUGGUUCUGUAUGGAAGGGCCAUCGCUCAACGGAUAAAAGGUACUCUGGGGAUAACAGGCUGAUACCGCCCAAGAGUUCAUAUCGACGGCGGUGUUUGGCACCUCGAUGUCGGCUCAUCUCAUCCUGGGGCUGUAGCCGGUCCCAAGGGUAUGGCUGUUCGCCAUUUAAAGAGGUACGUGAGCUGGGUUUAAAACGUCGUGAGACAGUUUGGUCCCUAUCUUCCGUGGGCGCUGCAGAUUUGAGGAAGCCUACUCCUAGUACGAGAGGACCGGAGUGGACACACCUCUGGUGUAUCGGUUGUCACGCCAGUGGCAUUGCCGAGUAGCUAAGUGUGGAAGAGAUAACCGCUGAAAGCAUCUAAGCGGGAAACUCGUUUCAAGAUGAGAUCUGCCGGGGCCUUGAGCCCCCUAAAGAGUCGUUCAAGACCAGGACGUUGAUAGGUCAGGUGUGGAAGC
rnacentral:rRNA from 1 species